rnacentral:misc_RNA from 1 species
UUAACUAUUAUGUUUUACUCGGACAAUAAUAUUAACAAGAGUUUCAGGUCCUCUGGCAGGCACUGACCAGCUUAAGCCGGUGGUCUAAAGACGGGCAUGCCAAAGCAACAAAGAUAAGAUAAACAAAGGGUGGAGUGUUACGAUGUGGCCGAGUUUCCCCGAUCCUUCGUUGACUCUUUAAUGAUCCUUCCGCAGGUUCACCUACGGAAA